CUACUAGCAGCAGCACCAUGCAGUAAACGAACUCGGUAUGUAGGAAUACAGGAAUAAAGUAUCGUGAAACUCGAUCACUGGUUCUCCGCACGUUCGUCAAUGAGUCGCGGCUAUUAUGAAAAAUAAAUAAAUUUUAAUUAGUGAUAAUUAUUAUUGUACGCGGGUUAAUUUUGUAAUGAUAGCAACUCCUGGUUUUAACUUGACAGUGCAAUAGAAACUGGUGGCACUGUGACGCCGAGUUUUUAUCAACCCGCGCAUCCACGCGAAUCUUGUUAGCCAAACCAGAUUGACAAUGAAGUGAAGCCCCGGUACGACAGAGUUGUGUGUGAUGUGAUGGAGUCAAGCGGUGCGCACGUGUCCGCUAACGAGAUUAAAAUCGCGAUACUCGCAACCGCUGGUUUGAUAAUGGUGGGGUAAUAGACACUUGCUACAUUGCACUUCUCUAUUUUCAUCAGAGAAAGUAUCGAUAUUUAGAUAAUAAUUGAUCGAUAUUUUUAACACCGAGAAUCACAACAAUUUACGACUCGACCAAUAAUUAGCACAUUAAAAUAAAGAAGAUCUUUCACCAGAUGCAGUCAUAAUAUUAG